rnacentral:sRNA from 1 species
GGCUCUUGGUAGUGGGGGCCCAGACAGGGAGGCACCCGCCACCUGCUUCCCUUCUCAGCCACCCACAGCCCUUAUAGGGCAGAAUGGGACUCUUGCUGAUGUAGCCGGGUCCCAAUGAUAAGAAGUCAGAACUGCUGCCAGCUGGGUGGAACAACAAUAAAGACCUGUAUGUCCUCCGGUAUGAGUAUAAGGAUGGGUCCAGAAAGCUCCUUGUGAAAGCCAUCACCGUGGAGAGCAGCAUGAUCCUCAAUGUGCUGGAAUAUGGCUCACAGCAAGUGGCAGACUUGACCCUGAACUUGGAUGAUUAUAUCGAUGCAGAACACCUGGGUGACUUCCACAGGACCUACAAGAACAGUGAGGAGCUUCGGUCUCGUAUUGUGUCUGGAAUCAUCACACCUAUCCAUGAGCAGUGGGAAAAGGCUAAUGUAAGCAGUCCCCACCGGGAGUUCCCCCCUGCUACCGCCAGAGAGGUGGACCCACUCCGGAUUCCUCCACACCACCCACACACCAGUCGGCAGCCUCCCUGGUGUGAUCCCCUGGGCCCGUUUGCUGUCGGGGGAGAAGACUUAGACCCUUUUGGGCAUCGGAGAGGUGGCAUGAUUGUGGAUCCCCUGAGAUCUGGCUUCCCAAGAGCACUUAUUGACCCUUCCUCAGGCCUCC